rnacentral:rRNA from 1 species
AUCGGAACGUGCCCAAUUGUGGGGGAUAACGUAGCGAAAGUUACGCUAAUACCGCAUACGAUCUAAGGAUGAAGCGGGGGGAUCGCAAGACCUCGCGCGAAUGGAGCGGCCGAUGUUAGAUUAGGUAGUUGGUGGGGUAAAGGCUCACCAAGCCGACGAUCUAUAGCUGGUCUGAGAGGAUGAUCAGCCACACUGGGACUGAGACACGGCCCAGACUCCUACGGGAGGCAGCAGUGGGGAAUUUUGGACAAUGGGCGCAAGCCUGAUCCUUUCAAGGGGCGUGCAGGAUGAAGGCCCUCGGGUUGU